UUUGAGGACGUUUGAGGCUUCAAACGAAGGCUUGAAGCUGACUGGUCUGUUCAGCUGCGAUUUUGACGAAUUCUUCUGGUGCGGCGCUAUUAAGACCUUCAUUCCGGAUUUGAUUUAUUUAGCUUCGACUUUAAGUUUUGCAGUUUUAGAGUCGAGGUGGCCAUGGAAGUCGAGAAUGACUAGAGAUUUAGUAUUUCCAUAGAAAUUUAAGUUGAAACAUGUUACUUUUUAGUUUAUCAUUUUAUUUCAUGUUACUACUUUAGUUUUGACAAGUUGAUUUUAAAUUGGUUUAAACUUUUAUAAUUCAAGAAAUUUUAUUUUUAUA